CACUUUGGAUCCAGUUAAACAAGACAUUCAGGGACUACAACUGAUACUACAAGUUCUAUCAUGGUGUACAGAUACUCAUCGAUGGUGGAAGUUUUUCAAGCCCUCCCUCUGUGGUUUCUUAUAUUUGGAAUAUUCACACCAGUCACCCUGCUGUUGUUGCUGCUACUUGCCUACUUCAGACUGGAAUUGAAGAAAGUGAAUAAUGAAAUAGCAAUGAAUGAAAAUCCUAAGAACUUUAUUAAAGAACGCUACUUCAAUGAGUCUUCACCUGAAUGUAGAGCACGGAAUACAAGGCCUAGCAAUGAAAGUUAUGUGAAGAACCACUUUCAAAAGUGAACUGUUAUUAAUGCAUCUGAACCAUCUCUUGAGGGGCCGUGGACAAUUCUGAUUUGAUGGAGACAGACGUGAAAGCACAGAGGAACAUCUGGAGAAAUUUCUGAAAUGCCGGUUCGCUGCCGCUGUUACUGGGCGAUUGAGAAUCUCCGGAGGGAAGGCCCCAAAAUCCCCGGCUUUGCCUGCUGCUGGCGACCAAGGCUGCGGUCGAAUCGUUCGGAUAGAGAUGGUGCUCUGAAUCAUCGGAAAAUUUUGAGUACAGAGUCGGACUGUGGUCGGACAUGGCAGGGAGAGUUUCCUUCCUUCUCCCGUCUGCGUGAGAUGUGGGACAUUCGAGAGACUUUGAACUUUUUUACUGUGCCAUGGCCUGUUCUUCAUCAAGUUAUGGUAUUGUUGCACUGUUGUAACUAUAUGUUAUAAUUAUGUGGUUUUUGUUAGUUUUUCAGCCUUUCCUGUGUUUUUGUGAUAUCACACCGGAGCAAUAUUGUAUCAUUUCUUAAUGCAUGCAUUACUAAAUGACAAUAAAAGAGGACUGCGUGUCCUCAUAAUCUAAUCUAAUCUAACUGUGGCACCAUAGUUCAG